UGGCCGGCUGGGGUUCCUGGGGAUGGGAUUUGCUGCCUAUCACAAAUCACAUUGCCAGGGAUUUCCAACCGACC
rfam:Otolemur garnettii contig140427, whole genome shotgun sequence.